rnacentral:rRNA from 1 species
GACGAACGCUGGCGGCGUGCUUAACACAUGCAAGUCGAGCGGUAAGGCCCUUUCGGGGGUACACGAGCGGCGAACGGGUGAGUAACACGUGGGUGACCUGCCCUUAGCUCUGGGAUAAGCCUGGGAAACUGGGUCUAAUACCGGAUAUGACUCCAUGACGCAUGUUGUGGGGUGGAAAGCCUUGUGCGGCUAGGGAUGGGCCCGCGGCCUAUCAGCUUGUUGGUGGGGUGANGGCCUACCCAAGGCGACGACGGGUAGCCGGCCUGAGAGGGCGACCGGCCACACUGGGACUGAGACACGGCCCAGACUCCUACGGGAGGCAGCAGUGGGGAAUCUUGCGCAAUGGGCGAAAGCCUGACGCAGCGACGCCGCGUGGGGAUGACGG